GACGAAGGUGGCAAGCGUUGUUCGGAAUCACUGGGCUUAAAGCGCACGUAGGCGGGCCAUUUUGCGCCUUGUGAAAGCCCCCGGCUCAACCGGGGAAUUGCUGGGCGAACGGAUGGUCUUGAGGCAGGUAGAGGCGCGGGGAACUCUUGGUGGAGCGGUGGAAUGCGUAGAUAUCAAGAGGAACACCGGUGGCGAAGGCGCCGCGCUGGGCCUGUCCUGACGCUGAGGUGCGAAAGCCAGGGGAG
rnacentral:rRNA from 1 species